CCCUUAGAUGUUCUGGGCAGCACGCGCGCUACAAUGGUCUUCGCAAACGGAUGCAUUCUCGAAGGAGAAUGCCAAUCUUGGAAUCUAUGCCUUGGUCGGGGCAGUUGCUUGCAAUUUUUCGACUCGAACCAGGAAUUCCUUGUAAUCGUGAUUCAUCACAUCACGAUGAAUACGUCCCUGCCCUUUGUACACACCGCCCGUCGCUCCUACCGAUCGAAGAGUUAGGUGAAUUGUUUUGAUCGAUAAGAUUUGACUAUGGUCAACUCUCGUUGGGAAAUUCUGUGAAUCUGACUGUUUAGAGGAAGGAAAAGUCGUAACA
rnacentral:rRNA from 1 species